rnacentral:rRNA from 1 species
AGAGUUUGAUCAUGGCUCAGAAUGAACGCUGGCGGCGUGCUUAACACAUGCAAGUCGAACGAGAAAGCCUGAUUUCGGUUGGGCGAGUAAAGUGGCGCACGGGUGAGUAACGCGUAGAUGAUCUACCCUUGAGUUUAGGACAACCUUGCGAAAGCGGGGCUAAUACUGAAUACGAUCAUGCUUUAGGGCGUGAUGAAAGUUGGCCGCUCGAAGAAGCCAAUGCUCGAGGCUGAGUCUGCGUCCUAUCAGCUAGUUGGUAGGGUAACGGCCUACCAAGGCGACGACGGGUAGCUGGUCUGAGAGGAUGAUCAGCCACACUGGCACUGGAACACGGGCCAGACUCCUACGGGAGGCAGCAGUGAGGAAUUUUGCGCAAUGGGGGAAACCCUGACGCAGCAACGCCGCGUGGGUGAUGAAGGCCUUCGGGUCGUAAAGCCCUGUCAGGUGGGAAGAAUGUCUAGGGGAUGAAAAAGCCCUUGGAGUGACGGUACCACCAGAGGAAGCACCGGCUAACUCCGUGCCAGCAGCCGCGGUAAUACGGAGGGUGCGAGCGUUAUUCGGAAUUACUGGGCGUAAAGCGCGUGUAGGCGGCUUGACAAGUCUGAUGUGAAAGCCCUGGGCUCAACCUGGGAAGUGCAUUGGAAACUGUCAGGCUUGAGUACCGGAGAGGAUGGGGGAAUUCCCGGUGUAGAGGUGAAAUUCGUAGAGAUCGGGAGGAAUACCAGUGGCGAAGGCGCCCAUCUGGACGGUAACUGACGCUGAGACGCGAAAGCGUGGGGAGCAAACAGGAUUAGAUACCCUGGUAGUCCACGCUGUAAACGAUGAGCACUAGGUGUAGCGGGUAAUCAUUCCUGCUGUGCCGCAGCUAACGCGUUAAGUGCUCCGCCUGGGGACUACGGUCGCAAGACUAAAACUCAAAUGAAUUGACGG